AGCAACGUUCUGCUCCAUCCUUAUCUUCCCGUCGUACACUCAUCUAGCUUCACUGCUUUUGCUGCUACAACUUCACCGACGAGUGUCUUACUUCACCGACGAGUUGGAACACUUCAGUGGUCGCUACCCUUUGCUGAUACACACCUACAGUUACUCACCACGGGAUUAUGCCCAGGUAAUGCAGAGGAAAUUUCGAGAAGAUGGACACCAUAACGUCGCCGGUAUCUCCAAAGUGUCAGCGCGGAUCAUCAUUUGUUGUUGGUAAUAUGUUUGUGUUUGUGUUAGUUAACCCGUUGUCUGCCACGCCUUUGUUCUCCCCGCUCCUUAGCAUGGGCCGCGCCGAAAGGCGCCUGUUUGGCAAUGCACCAAGUUCCCCCUUGUCGAUGCGGUGAUGGAUUCUCCUGUCACCGUGUCAGCC